rnacentral:tmRNA from 1 species
GGGGCUGAUUCUGGAUUCGACGGGAUUUGCGAAACCCAAGGUGCAUGCCGAGGGCGGUUGGCCUCGUAAAAAGCCGCAAAAAAUAGUCGCAAACGACGAAAACUACGCUUUAGCAGCUUAAUAACCUGCUUAGAGCCCUCUCUCCCUAGCCUCCGCUCUUAGGACGGGGAUCAAGAGAGGUCAAACCCAAAGAGAUCGCGUGGAAGCCCUGCCUGGGGUUGAAGCGUUAAAACUUAAUCAGGCUAGUUUGUUAGUGGCGUGUCCGUCCGCAGCUGGCAAGCGAAUGUAAAGACUGACUAAGCAUGUAGUACCGAGGAUGUAGGAAUUUCGGACGCGGGUUCAACUCCCGCCAGCUCCACCA